rnacentral:rRNA from 1 species
CCUACGGGUGGCAGCAGUGGGGAAUAUUGGGCAAUGGGCGCAAGCCUGACCCAGCAACGCCGCGUGAAGGAAGAAGGCUUUCGGGUUGUAAACUUCUUUUCUGAGGGACGAAGAAAGUGACGGUACCUCAGGAAUAAGCCACGGCUAACUACGUGCCAGCAGCCGCGGUAAUACGUAGGUUGCAAGCGUUAUCCGGAUUUAUGGGGUGUAAAGGGCGUGUAGGCGGGAAAGCAAGUCAGAUGUGAAAACUCAGGGCUCAACCCUGAGCCUGCAUUUGAAACUGUUUUGCUUGAGUGCUGGAGAGGCAAUCGGAAUGACGUGUGUAGCGGUGAAAUGCGUAGAUAUACGGAGGAACACCAGUGGCGAAGGCGGAUUGCUGGACAGUAACUGACGCUGAGGCGCGAAAGCGUGGGGAGCGAACAGGAUUAGAUACCCUAGUAGUC